GCUUUUAUAAACUUCAUGAAAGCAGACGAGCAUCCUUCUUUAUUCACUAAUCAUAACAUGUCAGCACAGAGCAUGUACAGUGCAUGCCCCUGUGUUACAGUAGUUAGUGCUGUCACCUUAUCAUUCCAGUGACGUGGGUUCCAAUUCUGGCUUGAUAGAGGUUUUUCCCAGCCUUCCAGCCUCGACUCUCUAAGAAGACAAGAAAAACUCCCAAAUAAAACCUUGCAGUAAACAACAAUGGAAGACAUCGUGGGAAGAACGAUUCAGGCAGAGAACCCCUUCCAGAAAACAAGAAGAAAUCUAAUACCACAACUUCCGGGUUCUAAAAUGGCUGAGAUGAUGUCACUUCCGGUCACCUCUGAUGACGUCACUUCCGGCACCCACAAAACACCUCACUUCCGGAUCCUGU